rnacentral:tRNA from 1 species
CGGCAACAUGGAACUUGUGUUGCCCCAGCCUCACGGCUCUCCCAGCCCUCCUCAGGUGUGCGUUUAGCGACAGAGUGUCUGCACUCUUCCUGCUCUCGUUGCACGGCCCCACGCACGCAGGCACAUUAUUCCUGACGCGGUCCACAUCCACACCUCGAUUUGUGUUCCCCUGAGCCACCGCUGCCCCACGUCCCGCCUCAGACACACACACACACACACACGCACAUCUCUUCCUCCUCAAGGAAGCGACGAAGCGAGGGUAAACAGUGACGUCCGCCCUUGCGGCUGGAUCGCCGCUCCAGAAACGACUGCAGCAGCUGCAGAAACAGUUCGGCAGCAUCUACGACUCGUACGCACUCACAGUGCCUGACGCGGACCAGGAAGAGCAAAGGCAAAGGUCGAUCAUCAUAUCCGCGCUCGCCUUCAGCGAGCCAUGGGCACAGACCUUGGCGCACUCUAUCGCGACGCUUUCGCCUCAUCGCAGGUGCGAAUGUCAGCGGCCGAUCUUGAGACCCCCUCCUCGGGCUGGUGCCGUCCCUGACAGCGCUGAGUGGUUUGCCUACCGCAGACGCACCACUUCUCCUGAUUGUGACGCGCGCUCUUCAGCCCCAACGCAGUGAGGCCCCCACCCCGCACGUGCCCGACGCUGUUUUGCAGAGCGUUUUGCUGAACCUAACGCGUCGUCUUCACCACCCAGAGCCGUGGUCUGUAGGGUCCGCCCAGGUGGCGUUGGCCAUCCGCACCACGGCUGCAGCACUCCACACGCGCCUCUUGCAGCACUUUGUCGCCAGCGCAGUGGCGUCAGUGGCAAGAGCUAGCCAACCACACACUUCUGCACGACGUGCACACGUGGGUGACGGAGCUGGAGGUGGCGCAGACGCGGUCCGGCGACGCAAGGACGCAAAGGAACCCGUCUAUUCCGAAGACGAACGCGCCGGCAUCGGUGCUGUCACCGACGACGGCGGCGGCCCUGCUCUGUCAAAUGCUGAGCUUUCUCGCCGUCCUCGCGGAGCACCCGUGCGUCCGUUCCCUCGCCAGCGAGUCGUGGAAGCCGUUGCUGUUGUCUGUUGUGUCCGUUAUCGGACAGCCGAGGGACGCCACCAAGCAGCUGGAGCUCACUUACACGGCGCUGCACGUUGUGCUCGGUGUGCGAGAUGCCGGUGUGGUGCCACCAGAUGUGUGGAGGGAACUGGCUCUGCGGACAGUGGCGAAGUCGGUGCCGCACGGAGAGGAGGAUGCCCCGGUCCCGCUGCCCAUCUCGUCCCUCUCCAGCAAGCACCCUCAACUACGCCUCUCUCUUCGUCGCGUACGUACGACUGGUGAAGGCGCUUGUGUUUCUGGAGGUGGAGGAGAGCGCCACAGGCAGCAACACAGCGAGGAGCACAGCAAUGCAGAUGCAUGCCGUUCUUGCCGGGCUCGUAGAGAUGUCUACGCAUGUGUACCUGGAGAAGGACGCGUCUCCGGCGGCCGCGUCAGGCGCUGCCAAGGCUCGAGUCCCCCUGCUGUCGACGGUUGUGAAAGACCUGCUCAGUGUGCGCGAGGAAAGCCGCAGCUCACCAACGCAGUACGUCCGGUAUGUGCAGCGGAUGCUCAUCGGCCGAACGCCUAUCGUCCCGUGCAUCAUCACGCAGCUGCUGCGAGACUGCCAGUCUCAGACGGCGCUGCUGACGACGUCCCAUGAUCCCACGGUCCUCGGCACAAACGUGGAGAUCCUGCAGAAUGUUUUUCUGUGGUCCGUCCACGCCGCCAUCGAUGAGGAACUACUGGAUGUGUCGCACCGCGCCGAGGUGUUCCCCGCCUUGCCAUGGGGUCUCUACGACGCAGCAGAUGCCUUCGUUGGACAGCUGACCGUGCGCCUCGCAGAGGUGCUCCUGACGUGUCCAGCGGUGUGCGCACACAAAGACGCGGUGGUGCUCGAGGCACGCGUCAUCGCGUGCGAGGGACUCACGUUGCUGCUGCGCUUCUUACUUUUUGUGGUGAUACCGUGUGGCGUGCCGGAUGAAGUAUCGUGGAACGCGCGCUACCGCGCGUGCCCGUACGCGACUGAGGAACGCGUCAUGUGGACGGUGGCUGCGUUCGACUGCGGGUCGCCACAUGUGCUGUCUGCCUUCAUUGAUGCGCUAGACCAAAUGAGCAUACUUCUUGCCCCCCACGAAGGCGAAGGUGAGCACGCUGCUGCCGUCGUCCACACGACCCUCACUAGUCCCUGCAGGAUGUCAAGGCGCGGUGGACAAACUCAUGAAAGUGAUUCCUAUUUUUUAGACAUGCUGCACGUCACCGCAUGCGUGGCCGUGCGCCUUUCCGGUAAGCCGGCACGCGCCGAUCACUGCCUCCCUCUCCCCUUCCCUGUGCUUCCGCCCGUACACGUGCGGGAGGGGGGGGGGCAAUAUGUUGCUGCUGCGUUUCUCCCCAUCCCGCCACUGAGGCAAACCCAAAACGAAUUUCCCACCCUGACCCGCAGACCGGUGCUGAUGGACGCCACACGCGUGCGCAUCGGUGUGAGAACACAAUCCUGAACAAAAAGGAGCUGGCCUUUUCCGUCGCUGAUCCUUGGGCUGUCGCACUGUAUGGGCGAGCUCCACACCCGCCCCACCUCUCAAAACCUGUGCUCACAGCCCCCACGCUCUCCUCCUUUGCGCCGCGAGAACAGAAAGACGACUGACUUGAACAACGUUCCACUCGCUGCUUCGCCGCCUCCCAAGACCAACAGGGCAGGGUGAGCACGAAAACGGUGCGGCGGAAAAAAAGGAGUACGGCACUCAGGGUUCCCGAGUCAUCACUGACCUCAGUACUAACGGAGCCUGUGAGUGCUUAACUUCACAAAUCGGACGGGAUAUGGUGUUUUCACUCAAGUGUGGUCGUACUCGUCGUCGCGUCGGUACGGCAGCGGGGGCGACAAGCGCCUGUGGCGCGAAAAAUGAUGAGAGUGGGGUUUGAACCCACGCCCUCGAAAGGAUUGGAACCUUAAUCCAACGUCUUAGACCAC